CCUACGGGAGGCAGCAGUGGGGGAUAUUGCACAAUGGGGGAAAGCCUGAUGCAGCGACGCCGCGUGAGUGAAGAAGGAUUUCGGAAUGUAAAGCUCUAUCAGCAGGGAAGAACACGAACGUACCUGACCAAGAAGCACUGGAUAAUACCGUGCCAGCAGCCGCGGUAAUACGGCGGGGGCAGGGGUUAUCCGGAUUUACGGGGUGUAAGGGGAGCGUAGGCGGUUAUGCAAGUCAGGGGUGAAAGCCCCGGGCCCAACCCCGGGACUGCUUUUGAAACUGUGUAACUGGAGUGCAGGAGAGGCAGGCGGAAUUCCUGGUGUAGCGGUGAAAUGCGUAGAUAUCAGGAGGAACACCGGCGGCGAAGGCGGCCUUCUGGACUAAAACUGACGUUGAGGCUCGAAAGCGUGGGGAGCAAACAGGAUUAGAUACCCUAGUAGUC
rnacentral:rRNA from 1 species